rnacentral:lncRNA from 1 species
CAGAAAGGAAGGGCGACAUAGAAACGGGUCUGUUGGCAUAGUUUAUGAAAGAAUCGUGGAGCAAGGAGUGGGGUACUUACGCUUGCAGCUUUCUCCUCAUCAAUCCACGCCUGGAGAAGAUGAGUGAGGAACGAGGAUCGAUUCGAACUGCAGAAGAAUAAAUGCUACGCGGACAUGGACAGCAGCCAGCCGGCUACAUCCACCAUCUGCAUCCCUGAAGGCAUGGAGUCGAGCCAUUGGACAUGGAUUCCCUUAAAACUUGUAAACACGUCGGCCAGCUCCCCACGGUUCAACCUCCGAUAACUCAGCUGACUUACACCCGAGUUGCAGGCCAUCACUAGCAGACCUGGAUGGUUCCCAAGUCAUCAGCCGGGCCUUCAAGACACUCAAGCACACCAAGGUUUGUGGGGCAAGGAGGUACACAUCACCAGCACUGUCUGCAUACGUGGUGUGGAAUCGCCAAUCUUCUGAAUUUCUCUGCACCAUUUGGACAAGCAUCUUACCUGCCCACGACACCAUCCCUAGCUCGUAACUGGAUAAGACGACAAAAAUGGCUCCCAUUUUAUCAAGAAACGGUAGUGUAAUCAACAGUUUGACAAGAUUCUGUGCUCUAAUUAGACCAGCCUCCAGCCUGCCCAGGACACCCCAGCUUACACCGAAGAGGAUGAUGAAAGUGGCUCAACUAAAAGAAACUGUAGUCUGGAUGCAACAUUUUGAGUUGUGCUAGGAACCAGGAGUCUGUGAUUGCUUAUAUGUUGAAUAGAAUGCAUGAGAUUGUGGACCACAUGUUGAUUGAUGGGGAUGGAAUGAUGGACAUUGUCUUAGACCAUAACAUGCUGGUGCUAGAGUGUAACUUGUGUGGAAGAGAGGAAAGGAAUGCAAAACCUAAAGGGAGGAAGUGAAGGCUAAGGGAUGUAGAAUGGGAGAAUUUCCAGGCAGACCUGAGUGAGAGAAGCUGGGAAGAUGAAAGCUUGAAUGAUGUGGAUGAAUUGAAUCAUAAAUUAAUGAGUGUGAGGAAUGCAGCAGCCAGCCAGGUAGGGUAUGUGAGGAAGAAUGGCAGGAAGCAUACAUGUAAGCCAUGAUGGAAUGAUGAGGUUAGGGAUGCCAGGAGAGAGACAAAGAUUGAAUAGGGUGUAGGUAGUUGAGAAAGAGGAAGCAUGAGAGUGAAGGAGCAGGAAAAUACUAGAAUGCAUGGACAGCAUAUGCUAGGCAGCAACGAGUGACAAAGCAGAUGAUGAAUGCUAAGGAUAGGUGUAAGAGAAGCGUGAUCCAGACCCUCGAGAGAAGAAAGUGUGGGAAGCUGGUAAAAUUUGUAUAGAUUCUUGAGGAGUGAGGGGAUGCAUGACUGAGAAUGCUGAGAGCCUGAAAGUGAAUGGGUCAGUGGUGACAAGUAAGAAAGAAAUGAGAAGGAUGAUAAGAGUUCUUUCUGGGAAGAGAUUGGAGGUGUAGGUGAGGUACUUGAUGCAAGAGAAGGGUGUGUAACAUUGGCAAGGAAGGAUGCAAAUAAGCUGAAUAAAAGAAUCGGCAGGAAACAGGUGGAGAAAUGUGUGAAAAGGCAAAAAAGAAAGGGAAGGCAGCAGGGCCAGAUGAGACACCAUAUGAGAUGUACAAAAAUGGAGGUGAAGUUGUGAUUGAUAGGAUGACAGAGCUAUUUAACCAGGUAUGGGAGGAGAGUGCCAAGAAUGUGGAAUGAAUGUAGUGACUUUCUCAUAAGUGAGGAUACAAGAGUAAGAAUGAGUUGAACUUUAGACUGAUUGCAUUUGUAAAUACAGUAGGUAAAGUGUUCAGUGCAAUGUUGAAUGAGAAAUUGUGUAAAUGAAUUGAGCAAGCUGGUGUAUUAGGUGAAGAACAGAGCUGAGGAUAUGUUUGUGGUGAAUAAAUUGAUUGAGAGGAAAAGAGGAGGAUGGAGGUAAACUAUACUUAGGUUUUCUGUACAUAAAGAAAGCAUACAAUGGGGUGGAUAGAGGAAAGAUUGGGUUGAGUGAGAAAGAUAAUCAACAUAGUGCAUGGCAUGUAUGUUGACACGAGCUAAAUACAGACUAGGAUAUAGGCAAGGAUGAGACUGGGUGAAGAGUGAGAGGAGUUAGGCAAGGAUAAGAUAUAUCUUGUAUCUUGUGCUUCUUUAAGCAGAUGUAGUCAUGAGUGAACAGCAGAUGAAUUGCAAAGUUUGUUGGACGUUGUGAAUGGGUAUGAGAUUGGAAUUAGGUUUAAUAGAAAGGAAAGUAAGGCAAUGACUGAAUAUGUCAGAUAAUGAAAGUAAAUGCAGUAUGGAAAAUUGAAGACAAUGCACUGAAACAGUUGCAAGAAAAUAAGGGGCCAGAGUCUGAAUGGGUGUGAAAAGGCAAAGAAUGAAAAGAUAGGCUUGGGCAACUGGAGAGUUUGAAGAGGGGCAGAAUAGAGGAGGUGGAAUGUUACUGAAUGCACAGAUGUGCACAACAAUAGCAGCUUUGUGAGGUAUUAUGGGAAAGCACACCUCUAGGGAAAGACCAAUAAAAGCAACACUUAGUACCUACCCAAGAUUAGGUUGAGAGAAUAGAGAAUUGUAGUGAGAAACAUGUAUCUGGAAUGAAAGUGGAGGAAGAAGUGCAUGAGCAUGAUGGAGAGGAUGGCUUACAAGUUGAGAAUGGCUGGGAGGAAUCAAAAUGAGUGACUGGAUUGUGACAAGGAGGCAGAGUGGGAAAUGUUACUGAGACAGAGGUGAAGUGGGCAGAACUGAACAUAUGGGAGAAUUAAAUGGAACAAAACAGUACAAGGAAAAGGAGGCCCUGAAGUAUGAGAGGUAGUAUGAUGACAGCCUGAGUGGUAAUCAUCUCUUCUGAGCUAGGGCACUAUGGAUGUGGAUGCAAGGAGCUAUAGAUAGUCGGAUUCCCUCAGCAAAAUGUGCCAUCACCUGACAUGGGAGAGAAUGGUGAGUGUAGCAUGUGGUGCUGGAGUGGGAGGGAGAUGACACAAGUGAUUCUGACUGAAUUAGGGCACAAUAGGAAUGAAAGAGUGGGGAAGACAGGAAGGGAAUGGAUGGUGCUGCUGCUGAGACUGUAGAGAGAUGAGUGUAAGUAUGAUUGAGGCUGUGAAGGAGUUCACGGAGAAAAUGUGGUGUGCCAACUGCCAGGCAUCAGUGAACAGGACCUCUCUCUCUCUCUCUCUCUCUCUCUCUCUCUCUCUCUCUCUCUCUCUCUCUCUCUCUCUCUCUCUCUCUCUCUCUCUCUCUCUCUCUCUCUCUCUCUCUGUUUCGUUCAUUUUCUCUUCAAACUUUUUAAAUUUACUUUUUCCAGAGUCAAUUUCUGUGUUGAGAUAAUGACACACACUCUCACUCUCUCUCUCUCUCUCUCUCUCUCUCUCUCUCUCUCUCUCUCUCUCUCUCUCCACAUUCAAGCAAAAAAAAAAAAAAAGUAGUAUCCUGCUCACUGAUCAUCCCUACAUCUAGCACGCACAUUUUCUCCAGAAACUCCUUCACAGCCUCAAUCAUACAUUCAUUUGUAUCUCUACACAAUCCCAGCAGCAACACCAUUCAUUCCCUUCCUGUCUUCCCCACUCUUUCAUCCUUAUUGUGCCCUAAUUCAGUCAGAAUUGCUUGCAUCAUCUCCCUGUUGUCUCUCUCGUACCUCUCGCACUCCAGCACCACAUGCUCCACUCACUCAUCCUCUCCCAUGUCACACAUCUGGGACACUUUUCCCUCAGACCAUUUGUAGCUCCUUGCAUUCACAUCCAUACACUGUGCCCUAGCUCAGAAGAGAUUGCCAUCCAGGCUGCCAUCAUACCACUUUUCAUACAUUGGGGCCUCUAUCACUACCACUCUAAAAGUACUCUUCUGUUCCAUCUUGUUCCUCCAUUCACUCAGUCCCAUACACUUCACCAAUUUGUCCAUAACACUUCCAUUUACAUCCCAUUCUAAGCCCUCUCCAUUUGUAACAAUCAUGCUCCAGUCACUCUCAGCAUGCCUCCUUAACUUACUGAAAUGCCCAACUAGUGUCCAGACCAUUCUUCACUACCAUCCUGACAAUUCUUCCCCCAGCUGCUAUUCCUAACAUUCCACGGAAACACUUUUCCUAACUAUUCAUAUGCCAUUCAUUUGCUCUACUAACCUUGAAUCUCAAUAUUGCCUUUACAUUCCUCUCUCUGAAGGUACUCCAUCCCAUGUCUCCUCUCAACUUCUCAUUUACUGCAUACCCUGGCACAUUAAGUGAUUCUAGCUACCUGUAACAUCAAAAUCAAGACCAGCAUCCUGCCUGCCCCAGAAACCCUCCCCAGCUCACUACUGAGGAUAAAAGUGCUUCCCAAUAGCCUAAACAACUGUAUUAAGGAUGGAGAUGGUCCCAUAAUUGCCUUAAAAACCAAGUUGCCCGCCAAUAGUAUUAAUAAAUUGUACUAUACUGUUGCCCGCAAUAGUAUUAAUAAACUGUACUAUACUAGGUAAGUGACACCCGAAUAACAAGUGUACAAAGUAAAAAAUACUCUGGAGACUGUCCUGAGAUUUUCUAAUAGAGAAUUUAAUAAAGUUUUCUUAGAGAACAAGUACUUUCAAUUAAAAUUACUAAAAAUCUCUGGAAAGUCCUGAGUAUAUUUGACUGAGUUUUUUAGGCUCCUAAGGGCCACUUCUUUAGGCCCCUAGGGAGGGAAUCCUGGGCAGACAAGCUGUUAGUCCAGUCAGUGAUAAAGAAGCUGUUAAUCCUAACGAGUCUCAAGGAAUUCCUUUUCUUCAUUAAUGACUAAGACCAUCCUGGGCAGGCAGGAGGCUCGUUGAAUUGGCGCCAGCACUGGCUCUGAAGGCUUCAUAAUCCUCUUGCUGUAGCCAUAGAACAAUAGUAGUAACGUGCCCUCAGCAGUUCUUCUGUUGUGGUCUUUGGAAGGUCAUCAUUCUACCAUUGCAUGUCUUUCACUUUGUGGUUCUUACAAGCUGGAAAAUGGAGUCACAUCCUUAUACACUUAAAAAUAAAUAAUUCCUACAUCCUUAAAAAGAAAUUCUAAAUAAUGUGUCAUACAUACCAAAUCAAAGCAAAAAAAAGUAUAUCACAGUAAUAGUUGCUAUAUCAAGUAUAUUUAAGCUUCAGCAGCAGGUCAAGACUUCAAAACGUGUAAAAUAAAAAAUUAGUUAAUU